UACGUAGGGUGCAAGCGUUGUCCGGAAUUAUUGGGCGUAAAGAGCUCGUAGGCGGUUCGUCGCGUCGGCUGUGAAAACCCGGAGCUCAACUCCGGGCCUGCAGUCGAUACGGGCGGACUCGAGUUCGGCAGGGGAGACUGGAAUUCCGUGGUGUAGCGGUGAAAUGCGCAGAUAUCAGGAGGAACACCGGUGGCGAAGGCGGGUCUCUGGGCCGAUACUGACGCUGAGGAGCGAAAGCGUGGGGAGCGAACAGG
rnacentral:rRNA from 1 species